rnacentral:rRNA from 1 species
UACAGGGGCCCCAAGCGUUAAUCGGAAUUACUGGGCUUAAAGGGUGCGUAGGCUGUCCCGUAAGUGCUCUGUGAAAGCCCUCGGCUCAACCGAGGAACAGCAGGGCAUACUGCGGGACUUGAGGAAGGUAGAGGCCGUUGGAACGCUCGGUGGAGCGGUGGAAUGCGUAGAGAUCGAGCGGAACGCCAAAAGUGAAGACAGACGGCUGGGCCUUUCCUGACGCUGAGGCACGAAAGCGUGGGGAGCAAACCGG